rnacentral:rRNA from 1 species
UAAUACGUAGAGUGCAAACGUUGUUCGGAAUUACUGGGCAUAAAGAGCUCGUAGGCGGCGCAAAAAGUCGGCUGUGAAAGCCCCUGGCUCAACCAGGGAAUUGCGGCCGAAACUGCUGUGCUUGAGUGUGAGAGGGGAGAGUGGAACUUCCAGUGGAGCGGUGAAAUGCGUAGAUAUUGGAAGGAACGCCGGUGGCGAAAGCGACUCUCUGGCUCACAACUGACGCUGAGGAGCGAAAGCUAGGGUAGCGAACGGGAUUAGAUACCCCGGUAGUCCUAGCCGUAAACGAUGGGCACUAAGUGGAGGGAAUCCUACAUUCUCUCUUCUGAAGCUAAUGUGUUAAGUGCCCCGCCUGGGGAGUAUGGUCGCAAGGCUG